CUUAGGAGUCAAUGAUGUUUUAAUUCAAAAUGUCUGAACCUGUCUGAGGCAUCUUAAUGAUGCAGCUUGUGUGGUGCUGAGACUUCUCUGUCA
ensembl:snoRNA Gm22771 predicted gene, 22771